CUUGCAUCUGGUGCAUGAAGAGAUUGCUGACACGUUAGUUGCAGUCUACCUCCACCAAUAGGGUGGAAAACGAAGGUCACCAUUCCGGUUAGCUGCUAUCUCCCAGUUCAAGCACUUUUGCUGUCUGGACAUUGGUUCCUGUGGAUGGGGUGUUACAAGCUUCACUGUCUGAUAUAGGAGUGAUGAGCAUCCAUAAGGACACAUGCCAGAAAGGGAGUCUCUUCGGGAUGACAAACCCUCAUCACCUCAUGAGGAUACAAUGGUUGACGAAUGGUUCUCAAGCACAUCGAAACUUCAACAAAUAAUUCAUGAAAAAGCCAGUCAGUGCUAGCACCAGGAAUUGAACGUGGACCGUCCUGCUACCAGUCAGAGGUGUUACAUUUCAGGCGCUCAUUGACUUUUGGUGAAUUACUUGUUGACUUUGUCCCAAGGUGGAGCUCGCCACAGCUCAUUUGCCUAUCUGUUAAUGUUGUGGCGUGUGUUGCGUUUUUCUCUUUGUGUGUUCCAGACUCAGAACGAUUAAUUUGGAUCAGGUCAGGUACGUUUCAUUUAGA